UUGUUGGACGCGCUUCGGCGCACCUCCAGACAACCCUUUGUGAACUUAUACCUAUACUGUUGCCUCGGCGUCAGGCUGGCUCCCCUCGGGGGGUCCCUCACCAUCUCGGUGAGGAGCAGGCCCGCCGGCGGCCAAGUUAACUCUUGUUUUUACACUGAAACUCUGAGAAUAAAACAAAAAUGAAUCAAAACUUUCAACAACGGAUCUCUUGGUUCUGGCAUCGAUGAAGAACGCAGCGAAAUGCGAUAAGUAAUGUGAAUUGCAGAAUUCAGUGAAUCAUCGAAUCUUUGAACGCACAUUGCGCCCUCUGGUAUUCCGGAGGGCAUGCCUGUUCGAGCGUCAUUUCAACCCUCAAGCCUGGCUUGGUGAUGGGACACUGCCUUUGAGAAAAGGCAGGUCCUGAAAUUCAGUGGCGAGCUCGCCAGGACCCCGAGCGCAGUAGUUAAACCCUCGCUUUGGAAGGUCUUGGUGCGGCCCUGCCGUUAAACCCCCAACUUCUGAAAAUUUGACCUCGGAUCAGGUAGGAAUACCCGCUGAACUUAAGCAUA
rnacentral:rRNA from 1 species